CCCUUAGAUGUCCUGGGCCGCACGCGCGUUACACUGAUGCAUUCAACGAGCUUAUAACCUUGGCCGAGAGGCCCGGGCAAUCUUGUUAACGUGCAUCGUGAUAGGGAUAGAUUAUUGAAAUUAUUAAUCUUGAACGAGGAAUUCCUAGUAAACGCAGAUCAUCAAUCUGCAUUGAUUACGUCCCUGCCCUUUGUACACACCGCCCGUCGCUACUACCGAUUGAACGGUUUAGUGAGGGCCUCGGAUUGGUCUCGGCCCGCUCUUUACCGGGCGGCGCCGUUGGUCGAGAAGACGCUCGAACUUGAUCGUUUAGAGGAAGUAAAAGUCGUAACA
rnacentral:rRNA from 1 species